AGCUUUGUGCAGUGGCAGUAUCAUAGCCAGUGAAGUUUAUCUGAGACAUGAUUAUUGCUAAUUGAAAACUUUUCCCAAAUCUAGAGGCUUAUAGUUCUAAUCUUUGAGAACUAGAAGCUUAUGGCUCAAUGCUUUCACACCAGAG
rnacentral:snRNA from 1 species